GAAAAGCUACGUGAACCCCGUUGAAAAGAAUCAUCCAGAGAUAUGUAACUGCUCUUGCACAUUACAUCUUGUUGCAUGGCUCCGGUGUGUGAAACCCAAGUCAGGUGCGUUGGCGUUUUGACAUGGUGACCUUCACGGGCCCUGGUAGUCUAGCAGCCCUCUCUGGUACUUCCGUAGCCUGCGCCUGAGCACGCCUUGACGUUUUGGAGCGCCCUUCUCCCCUCGCGGCAUCCUUGCCUCUGGUUUCCUGAUGGGCCAACCAAGGACAUUCGAAUCAGCCUUCGCUCCUCCUCAUACGGAAAGAUGCUAAUGCCUUCUUCGGCCGCAUAGAUGAAAACAUUCCCAGGCAAGGGCAUCUGGUACGAUUACUGCGGUUAUUUCUGACUUUCCCACGCCUUUCUCGAGCGACUACCCUUAUGGUCUCCAUCGGUGGGUCGACCCUUAUGCUCUAUGGGGGACAGUAUCGGCCUUCUAAUAGCUGAGGCUCGUCCUGUGCCCCGCUUCAUGUCCGGUACUCCUGGUCCUGUGUCUGAGACGUGUCUUCUCCUCGUCUCCCUUCUACAAGGGCACCGCCUUCUGCGAUCGUUGUUAACAACCUCCUAAAUCGCCACGCCUGUAUUCCGGCACGCCAUCCCGGCGUGUAAGAAUGCUGCCUCCUGCAGCCUCUUGUGGACCGUACUCAGCGGACCACCGCCGAAUGCCUUCUGAGGUCGCUGUCUACAGGUUUCCAUACCAAACACCUUCGGUACUGCGUGCCGCCGCGGCAGGCUUCCUAAUCGCGUUGCCUUCCACAGCCGCUUGUCAUGCAUUUGUGCCGCACUUUGCGUACCACCACAGCAACUUUCUACAAGCGCACCGCCUUCCACGGCCGCUGUCUAUAUGCUCCUAAAUCACAACGCCUUCCAUUCGGUGUGCCGCCGCGGCGAGCUUCCUAAGCGCACUGCCUUCCGCAGCCGCUUGUCAUGCAUUUUGUGCCGCACUUUGCGUACCACCGCAGCGACUUUCUACAAGCACAUCGCCUUCCACGGCCGCUGUCUAUAUGCUCCUAAAUCACAACGCCUUCCGUUCGGUGUGCCGCCGCGGCGAGCUUCCUAAGCACACUGCCUUCCGCAGCAGCUUGUCAUGCAUUUGUGCUGCACUUAGCGGACCGCCGCAGCGGCUUUUCUACAAGCGCACCGCCUUCCGUGGCCACUGUCUAUAUGCUCCUAAAUCACAACGCCUUCGGUUCUGCGUGCCACCGCGGCGGGCUUCCUAAGCACACUGCCUUCCGCAGCAGCUUGUCAUGCAUUUGUGCUGCACUUAGCGGACCGCCGCAGCGGCUUUUCUACAAGCGCACCGCCUUCCGUGGCCACUGUCUAUAUGCUCCUAAAUCAACGCCUUCGGUUCUGCGUGCCACCGCGGCGGGCUUCCUAAGCACACUGCCUUCCGCAGCCGCUUGUCAUGCAUUUUGUGCCGCACUUAGCGGACCGCCGCAGCGGCUUUUCUACAAGCGCACCGCCUUCCGUGGCCGCUGUCUAUAUGCUCCUAAAUCAACGCCUUCGGUUCUGCGUGCCACCGCGGCGGGCUUCCUAAGCACACUGCCUUCCGCAGCCGCUUGUCAUGCAUUUUGUGCCGCACUUAGCGGACCGCCGCAGCGGCUUUUCUGAAUCAACACCUUCAGUUUGGCGUGCCGCCGCGGCGGGCUUCCUAAGCGCACUGCCUUCCGCAGCCGCUUGUCAUGCAUUUUGUGCCGCACUUAGCGGACCGCCGCAGCGGCUUUUCUACAAGCGCACCGCCUUCCGCGGCCGCUGUCUAUAUGCUCCUAAAUCAACGCCUUCAGUUUGGCAUGCCGCCGCAGCGGGCUUCCUAAGCGCACUGCCUUCCGCAGCCGCUUGUCAUGCAUUUGUGCCGCACUUAGCGGACCGCCGCAGCGGCUUUUCUACAAGCGUGCCGCCUUCCGCGGCCGCUGUCUAUAUGCUCCUAAAUCAAGCGCCUUCAGUUUGGCGUGCCGCCACGGCGGGCUUCCUAAGCGCACUGCCUUCCGCAGCAGCUUGUCAUGCAUUUGUGCCGCACUUAGCGGACCGCCGCAGCGGCUUUUCUACAAGCGUACCGCCUUGCAUGGCCGCUGUCUAUAUGCUCCUAAAUCUAGCGCCUUCAAUUUGGCGUGCCGCCGCGGCGGGCUUCCUAAGCGCACUGCCUUCCGCAGCCGCUUGUCAUGCAUUUUGUGCCGCACUUAGCGGACCGCCGCAGCGGCUUUUCUACAAGCGCCCCACCUUAACGGUCGCUGUCUACGUGCUCCUACAUCCAGCGCCUUCAGUUCGGCGUGCCGCCGCGGCGGGCUUCCUAAGCGCACUGCCUUCCGCAGCCGCUUGUCAUGCAUUUUGUGCCGCACUUAGCGGACUGCCGCAGCGGCUUUUCUACAAGCGCCCCACCUUAAGCGGUCGCUGUCUACGUGCUCCUACAUCCAACACCUUCAGUUCGGCGUGCCGCCUCGGCGGGCUUCCUAAGCGCACUGCCUUCCGCAGCCGCUUGUCAUGCAUUUUGUGCCGCACUUAGCGGACCGCCGCAGCGGCUUUUCUACAAGCGCCCCACCUUAAGCGGUCGCUGUCUACGUGCUCCUACAUCCAACACCUUCAGUUCGGCGUGCCGCCUCGGCGGGCUUCCUAAGCGUGCUGCCUUCCGCAGCCGCUUGUCAUGCAUUUUGUGCCGCACUUAGCGGACCGCCGCGGCGGCUUUAUGAUAUAGCUGUAGCCAGUCCACACGUCCAAGGACUCCGGGUCCGUCCACGCGUCUUGACUUCAACUUUCGUUUGCUUGCAGAUUUCUUGAAGCCCUCUUGUCUGCCUGUUUUGCUCGUUGUUCUUUACACAUUCGCACGAAGGGUAGCUGUUCUGUUGGUAAGUCUCCUGCACCGGGCUGUCUGGCGACUCGCGAGGAUACCAGAGUAAAUCCGGCGAACUCAAGACAAAGGACGCCAACCAAGCCACUCGCAACCCCUUGCCAACCAAGAGCUACUCCCGGCAAAUCGGACUCCCAGCUAAAGCCUCGCCAACUGCGAGAGGCCGAAAUAAAACCACCUUCCCUACUAACCUACGGACCUCGCGAACCCACCUAGAAUUCGCCCCGCCUACCGACAAGCAACAGGCCCUACUAUUCAGGUGCCUCUACUCAAGGCCGAACCACCCCAACCACCCGCGCGGUGCCCGCGCGCUUCACUUACUUGCAUGGAUGCCGUCGUCCCGCAAUGUCGAUCCGCGAGCCGCCGUUGUUGUUGUCCUCUCAUAUAUAAGAGACGUCGUCCUAUUGUAGGCAAAACCAAAGAUAAAGGCAAUCUAACAUCGCUCGUCAAGCGAUUUGCGACAUCGACUUGCUCUAUUCUUUCUAGUCGUCUAUUUUCUGUAACCUGUCUUAAUAAAGCUUAGUUUGUAUCUGUUGUCUGACUCUGCAUUCUGUGCUGGAAUGGCCAAACUCGGACUGUCUCGUACUGGUGUGAUAUCCGGGGUUGGCAUAGGGCCCUCCGUACUUCUGUAUUUGGCAGCAUUAAGGUGGCGGACGACUAACAGUAGUCGCUUUAGCCGCCUGCAGCUAACAGUAGCCGCAACGCGCCCAUAUGCAGAUAUGGACUUCCGCAGUAAUGCGGCACUCGAAUGGCGGACGACUAACAGUAAUCGCUAUAGCCGCCGUCGCCCAUAGACUUCCGCGGCAGUGCGGCACUUGAAGGGCGGACGACUAACAGUAGUCGUUUUAUCCGCCGGCGCCUAUAGACUUCCGCAACAGUGCGGCAUUUGGAUGGCGGACGACUAACAGUAGUCGCUAUAGCCGCCGCAGCUAACAGUAGCCGCAAUUAACCAAUAGCAGUAUUAGUUAAUACCUGUAAUCACCGACCGCGGAAUUGACGGGUGUUAGUUAGUAAUAUUGAAGU
rnacentral:lncRNA from 1 species